rnacentral:lncRNA from 1 species
GUCGUUUGUGAUCCUCUGUCGGCGACCGAAGAUAAUAUUUCAGCUCUUCUCGAUAAGUUGAUGUGUAAGCUCUGUCAUCAACACUGUUCCAACAAGGUAAAUCAUAAAAGGAAUUAGAAAAACCACUAUGUGCAGGCCUUUUAGAAGAUGAUGGAUCCUCGGGAGGAUGAAGAGCGACAGUUGAAGUGAUAUUUGUAGGUACGGUUAAAUCAAAUAAAUCAGCAUAGUGAUUAUAUAUUUUUCUAUGUAUUCAUUCG